AAAUUUGAGAGUUUGAUCCUGGCUCAGAAUGAACGCUGGCGGCAGGCCUAACACAUGCAAGUCGGACGGAGUUAUAUUGUAGCUU
rnacentral:rRNA from 1 species